rnacentral:rRNA from 1 species
UACGAAGGGGGCUAGCGUUGUUCGGAAUUACUGGGCGUAAAGCGCACGUAGGCGGAUUUGUAAGUAGGGGGUGAAAUCCCCGGGCUCAACCCGGGAACUGCCUUCUAGACUGCAAGUCUCGAGAUCAGGAGAGGCAAGCGGAAUUCCGAGUGUAGAGGUGAAAUUCGUAGAUAUUCGGAGGAACACCAGUGGCGAAGGCGGCUUGCUGGACUGAUACUGACGCUGAGGUGCGAAAGCGUGGGGAGCAAACAGG